AUGAGCGCUGGGGAGGUCUGGACACAUUUACUCAUUCUCAGCCUUGUCCUUUUAUUAUUGUAAUCCUCCACAGAACAAUUCACUGUGAAUGGCUCAGAGAGUCCAGUCUUGGUUCCUUUGGGUGGAAACCUAGAACUCAGUUGUCAGUUGUCUCCACCACAACAAGCAAAGCACAUGGAAAUUCGCUGGUUCAAGAAUCGCUAUUCAGAGCCAAUAUACCUGUAUAGGAAUGGAAAUGACCUGCUUGGAGAAACUGUCUACAAGUAUGUAGAGAGAACUGAACUCCUGAAAGAUGACAUUGGGAAAGGGAAAGUAACCCUCAAGAUCUUUAAAGUAACUAGUUUUGAUAGUGGGUCCUACCACUGCUUCUUCAAAGAUGACAAGUUCUAUGAAGAGCAUAUCAUAGAAGUCAAGGUCACAGCUACAAGCUCAGACAUACAGAUUCUUAUGCAUUCCCCAAAUAUCACAGGUGUGAGGUUGGAGUGUCAUUCAGGAGGUUGGUUCCCACAGCCAAACAUGGAAUGGAGAGACAGCAAAGGAGAGUACAUUCCAGCUACAUCAAAAUCCCAUUUACAGGAUGAAAAUGAAUUUUUCAACAUGACAAUGGACCUUUUUAUUAAAUCCAGCUCCCACUGGAGUGCAACCUGUUACAUUCAAAACUUUGUAACUCACCAAGAAGAAAGCAUAAGUAUUCUUCUACCAGGUAAAAUGUGUAUUCUUUCUUCACUAACUGCCGCUCUCACACAUACUUACUAUUCUAUUCCAUCUUGACUUUAUUUCUAAAGACCUAUUUU